rnacentral:misc_RNA from 1 species
CUUGGUGUAAAUGUUACUUUUUUUCCGAAGUGUCAAAUACACAUCACUUGAAAAAAAAUGGACUUUGAAAGUCCUGACGUGGAGAAGGAAUUCCCCGGAUUAUACGCGUCCGAAUCGGCUAGGAAAAGCAAUGAGAGCGAUUUUAGUGAUGAAGGCAGUCAUGAUAAGCAUUCCAAAAAGGAGUUACUGGGUGGAAAGCGGAAGGAUAAAAAGGACAGAAAGGACAGGGGCUACGCGACUCUAGAAGGUGAAAGUUCGCCGGACGAAGAUCAAGAAACUAAAAGUCCUUCGAAAUCAAAGAAGACCAAAGCCUUUAAAUUUCCAUCUAAGAAAGAGAAGCGGGAGAAAUCGAGGGAGAAAGAGGCAAAAGAAAAGGAUGCUGAGAAGGAAAAGGAUAAAAAGAAGAGGGAUAAGGACGAGAAAGAUAUAGACAAAGAAAAGCGGAAAGACAAGGAUAAAGACAAGUCUAAACAAAAAUUAAAAGACCGUAAGAAAGGAAAGCAUGCUGGCGGCGAAGGUUUGGAUAUCGGUGAGGAACAACCGAUUUUUGGUAUUAGUCUUCACUUAGCGGUUGAAAGAAGCUGUUGUCACGACGGAGUCGAAUUGCCCUUGGUCGUGCGAGACUGCAUCGAUUACGUGGAGGAGCACGGAAUGAACGUGGAGGGUCUGUACAAAGUUCCCGGGGUGAAAUCAAAAGUUCAAUAUUUGAAAAAAUUGUACAAUAACCGAGAACCGGUGAACAUGUCCGAAUUUGAACCCACGGUAGCUACGAGCUUAUUGAUACUCUUUCUUAGAGAGCUACCAGAAUCCGUGCUGGAGAACAGCGAAACGAUAUCGCGCUUCGAACAAGCCGCAUCGACCAAGGAUGUCGCGCAGCGGGAAGCGCAACUGGCGCAGCUGACGCAGCAAUUACCAGAGUGCAACAGGAUUCUUCUGGCGUGGGUUACGCUGCACUUGGAUCAUGUCACGGCGCGAGAAAAGGUGACGAAGAUGAACGCGCAAACGAUUUCGAUGACACUGAGCCCGGUGCUGCAGAUGAGUCACAGAUUACUGUUAGCCUUAUUGUUCCAUUGCAAGGCUUUGUUCCCGAAUGUACAGUUGACAAAAUACGUGCCACCACUGUCGUCCGGCAGUACCAAUCUGCCAGAUUCCGUGGAGGGCAUUGCCGCGGAACUGUCCAAGCAGGAGUCAUUGCUGUCCCAAAUUCACAUGCAAAUGAACGCCGGUUUCGUGACGAAAUCUCGCGAGGAACAAUUGUGGGAGGUGCAGCGAAUGAUAACGCAAUUAAAGAGAAAGUACAAGACUGUUCAAAAAUUGGAAGGUGCCACGCAAAAGAGUCUGGAUGAAGAAAUCAAAUCAUCCGAUAAUAUUUCGGUGGAAUCCACCUCGCAAAAGCCAAAGACUGCAGACGAAGAUUCCGGGCAAUCCAAAUCCGAUUCUCUGACAUCGACCAAUUCGACCUUGUUAAAAACAGACGGCAAACCACACGGUACAGAAGAGGCGAAAGAAAAGUGCUCCUGCUCGGCGGGGGGGGCAAGUGCAAGCGCCACGCAAAACGGACAGAACGUGAAUGUGCAAGAAAAAGACACGGUUGACUCCGCGGAGACUGCAAUGGUUGCAUCACAAUCAAAAGAAAACGUCACGUCGGACGACAAAGCAAACGAGCCUGAAGAGGAGGACGUCAUAGACAAGCUGCGAGAAAGACUGAUCCACGAGGAGCUGCUGAACAUGCAAGCGCUGCUGAAGUCUCGCAUCAGCCAGGAGAGGAACGAGAUCAAGCGAUUGAUAGAAAUGGUGACGGAACUCGGCACCGAGAAGAAAAAACCCAAGGAAAGGACGCACUCCCCCAACGAGGCCGAAAUGACGGCUAUGAUACAGCUAGUCAAAGAAAAUCAAUUGCUCGAAAAAAAAAUGACGACACUCAUACGCAGUAUUAUCGAGGAGAAAGACGCCUGUGUGGAACUGCGUGUUCAAUUGGCGGUGCAUCAACUGAUGGCUAAGACCUGACCGCAAACCUGCUAAUGACACACCGGGAUUACAAAAGACAUCCUAUACGCGAUCUGAUAUUACGUUUUUUGCACAUAACGAACAUAUAUAGUUUAUAACAUGUUGCAAUUACCACAUGUAUACCAUUAACUCGUUUUACUCUUCCGCAAAGUAAUAAAACUACACAAAAAUCCAGACAGAAAUUUUCAUGAACUCUCGGAUUCCACAAUUCGAGUUCCUUGUUAGAUACUCGAUGCGUUUUGGGAGUGAAGGAUGAAGGGAGGAGGACAUCACUCGAUAUUCAAAUGAGAUAGAUGGCUUAGUAAGCGCUACAGAUAGAUUAAUAGAAGAAGGUGCGACUCGGGAUUGAGGGGACAACUACGUUGUGUUCAAUGUAUAUUUACAAUAUUAUCUGGUCAAGGUACAGCGCUGAAUAUCGACCCGUAUAGUGUUCGCGUAUAAUCUUGGUAAUGCUGCUUCGUAUUUUUAUGUACGUAGGAAAAAUUUACACGUCCGAUAUAUAAUCUUUUUUUUUUUUUGUCACAGGUGCAUCUGUAUAAAAAUCUAUUGAUACGUCCGUCGCGGUGGGACGUACGCAGAAACUAAGAUUGUGCUGAGGACACAGAUAUUCUCUCAUUCAUCAGCGAAAGAAAGUCACGCAGCCUCGUAUGAUAGCCUUCGUGUAAGGGAACAAGCUCUUAUGGAUUCUACAAUCGCAACGCAACGCAACGCAACGCAACGCUUGGGUGUUUCCUUCGGUAAAUACCAAACAGAGUCACAUGCAAUUCGGAAGAGGCUGAGAACGGUUUGUUGGACACAUCGGAUUUGCAUACCGGGAAUGGUGUUAUCAUCAGCUCGAGAUCGUAGAAUCCGACUGUUUUCGCGAUAUCGCGCACCGCGUUUGUGGGAACUCGUAGACUUUACAGGUACGUCUUAUAUUCAAUGCGAUACUGUUUCUCUCUUUUUUUUUUUUUUUUUUUCGUUCGCUGAACGGGAUCGAGCGACAGAUAAUACAAUAACGUAGUCUUAGAGCAUCACUAUCACAGUGUAGUACAACAACUCGCUAAGAAUAGUAGCAUACGCGGUACCUACGAGCGAUGAAGGUAGUUUAACUACCGGAAUCGCGAAACUGCGCGUUUCGCCUAACAAUCCGCGAUUAUAGAAAAUAUUAUCAUAUGUAACUUCAUUACACAUACAAUUAUUACGAAGAGACAACUAGAUCGGAUUUUUUUUCUGUAUUCUAUAUCGUUUGAUUGCUUUAUAUUCACCAUAGAGCACCAAAUAAACUUUUUACGCGGCAUACACGAUUGAGAAUGUGGCGUUGCGGCCUCUCUAUUGCAUUUCUGUUUUUUCACAAAGGAAGUCACUGUUAAAAGAACAUCCGUAAAUUAUAGCGUGUGCACUAAAUCUGAGGAAUAUAUAUGUAUAUAUCUCACUACUGUCAACGAUCCGUUUUGCGAAUGGGCCACGUAAACUUUUACAAAGCUUAUAAAAGUAAUUUACAAAAUUUUAUAAAAGAUGGAAUAUAUAUAUGUGUAAAAAAAUAUAAAGGAAUGUUUCCUCUCUCCUAUGGCCAAUAAUUUUUUGCAAUAAUAUUUACAACAAAAGAGGAUGAUUCAAGAUGGUCCAACGCGGCAUAUUUUCUUAUUCUGUAUUAUUUUGCAACUUGUGUUUGAUUUUUCGGUCAUCCCAAUCACCUGUUUUGUUAUAAAAUAUAUCAAGUUAUUUGAUAUUUAUCUAUAGUUAUCGAUGAAAAUUUUGAACAUUCGACGGUUAUUAUUCAAUAAAUAUUCAAUCAAUGUAGAAGUUCAUGAUGUAAGAUGUACGAUUGAGACAAUGCUCGAAACAGACGACUGCCCGAAAUGCGACAAUCUCCUUUACAUACAAUUGAUUUUAAAGUUACUAUAUCGUAAAAUUAACGAAUCACUUAACGUCACUUAACGUCUCGUAAUAUCUAUUUCGUGUUUUGUUCAUCUAUCUUGCUUCUCCACGAAUUAAUGUCUCAGUAAUAACGUAAUAAUAUAAUAAUAAUUGUAUAUUUUUUAAGUGAGUCUUUGUAUGAUAAAUUUAAUGACAUUCUCAUGUACAUCAUCCAUAUUAUUCGCAACUCACUGAAUAAUAUAGUUUCAUAGCAGCUCUUUACUCGAAUAAAUUUUAAAUAAUUAGUGUAUAAUUUUUCAAUGAUUUGCGUCUGUGCUCUCGUUUUUUUUUCUCUCACAUGCUCUCUUACUCUUCUAUGAUGUUAUGUCAAUACAAGAAUCUGCAAUAUUACAAACGGCUCUUUUUAAGCUGCACGU